rnacentral:lncRNA from 1 species
CAAGUCCUGUGGCUAGGGGGGAAUAACUGUGCCCAUGAGGAGAGGUUGAGGAACGUGGGCUUCUUUAGCCUGGUGGAGGGGAGGCAAAGGGCAGUAGAGUAGGAGGCUGUGACUGCUUGAAGGGUGUUUUCAGAGAUGAUGAAGCUUCUCUUGCUAGUGGGAAACAGCAUGAGAAGGGGAAACAGCCACAAACAGCAGCUUGUGGGGUUCAGAUGUGGCUUCAGGAAAACGAAAUGUCACUUGAAGCUGGCUGACUACAGUCUGCAGGGAAAUAGGCACAGGCAUGGGACAGAGUAGGACAGGCUGUGGUGGCGAUGGCUGAGGGCACUGCCAAGGCUGAAAGCUCCCAGCAGAACCAAGGUGUUUGUCCUCUUGGCUGUGGCUGUUAUUUCUGCCACCAAGGCCUCUGAGAAGAUGCUGUUUCCUUAAAGCACUUUGGCCUUGCUGCCUCCUCAUCUCCAGGGAACCCAGGAGAUGUUGUAUCACUGUCCUGCACUUGGCAUUGCACACCCCAGCCUUCACGCUGACCCCCAGGAAGAGCCCUGAGAAAAGCGUGAGGGAAAGGAUCACCCAACGCAGGGCCUGGCUAUUAGUGCCUGGCCAAUCUGCUUGAUAGAAAAUGUCAAGGUUUACUGGGCAUCAGAGCCAUCUGAGAAUUUCCUUUGCUUACCUGCAAUCAGUGCCUCCAGCUUUCUACUCUCAUCAGCCCCCAGGGAGGCUCUGUUGGUAGUGGCCCUCAGUGGGACCCAUUAACACUCCAAGAUACUUUGUGAUUUACUUCUGACUUUAACUUCUUGAGAGGUUUGUUCAGUCUCCUCUCAGUAUCUGAGGUUCACAGGCUCAGCACCAAAUACACCCGAGGGGCCAUUAAAAUGCAAAAAGCCCUAACAAGGCAUGUCACUCUCCAUAAGUUUCUUCAGUUCCUCAAUCCUUGUGURGCUAAUUGGAGAGGAUUCAGGAGUGUAUUUACAAGAGCAAGAUUUCAAUGAGCACCUGAACAAGAAAGGAUUUCUGCUUUU